AAGGCAGGCGGAACUGUAAAACCUUACAGAACGUGUUUUCCCUGCUGGGACCAGGACUCGUGGUUCCUGGGGAAGGGGGUUAGCCACCCAGGUCCACCCCAGUGGCUGCGGUGGGGCAGGGGGUGCUAGACAGGCUGCUUGGAGCGCCAGGGAGGCGUGAGCGCGAGAGAAAUCAGCUGGGUGGUGUUCCACGGGGAAACAGGGACAGCCAGCGGGAGAAGCUGCUUCCCCGGGGCAGGGGCGGGCAGGGGCAGGCAGCCCCACCCAGGCGGGUGUUUGCCCUGCCCUGUGUGUGUUCCGCCAGCAGGCUCCGGAUGAGGAAGCAGAGGGCAGGGCACCUGGGCUCAGUAAGCCGCUCGUACUGGGCUGUGCCAGCUGGAGACAAGGUGCCCUGCACCGGAGCAGCUGCAGGUGACACAAGGGGACCAAAGAUACUCCCUCCCGAGGCGCAACAGGAGCGAUGGGCAACCAGCUGAGUGUUCCACAACGAGCUGACGACCAAGAGAAUGACUCGGAAACAGACACUUACAAGGAGGCGUCGAGGAGGAACUGUGUUCAAAACGGGAGGCCGACGAUGGUGUCCACCCACACGGUUCAGCUCUACGACGAAGGUCAGUGUCGCCGGGCGCUCCCUUGGGGACGGGACUGCCGGUCUUGUUUGUGGCGGGAUGAAACGGAAGGAUCGGAGCCACGGGCUCCCCUUGAAAACACCCGUCCCGGUGUCCUGGGACCGCCCAGACAAAGUGUCACCGUCAGGGCGGCUGAAGCCACAGACAUUUAUUGUCUCACGGUGCCGGAGGCCAGAAGGCCGAGGUCAAGGGGUGGCAGGGUUGGUGGCUUCUGAGGACGACGGUGGGGUGGGUGGGGUGGGGGCGGGGUCUGUUU